rnacentral:sRNA from 1 species
GAUGGAUGCCCAGGAGGAAAGCAUCCAUGAGAGAACUGUCUCCAGAAAAAAGAAAAGCAAGAGACACAAAGAAGAACUGGACGGGGCUGGAGGAGAAGAGUAUCCCAUGGAUAUUUGGCUAUUGCUGGCCUCCUAUAUCCGUCCUGAGGACAUUGUGAAUUUUUCCCUGAUUUGUAAGAAUGCCUGGACUGUCACUUGCACUGCUGCCUUUUGGACCAGGUUGUACCGAAGGUGCGACCACAGAGAGCUCACUCUUUUAUCUGUGUGGCUGAUUUCAUUACUGUUUGUGAUUUGGAGCUACUCACUGGAUGGUGACCUCUUUUCACUUUCUCUACUCCAUGUCUGGGCAUGACCCAGCUUUGGACUCCUUGAGCCCCUCUCUAAUUUAAAUUUGAUAUUAUUAAUUAUCCAGGUAAUUGUCUUCCGUGUGGUUGCCUCCUUCCCCACUCCAGUAUCCACUUUCAGCAAAACGUCUUGCUUCAAGUCCCAGAUAGAAGAGUCUUUGACUUUUCUUCAGAGGCUUAUUUUAGCUAGAAUGUUUAAAGCUACAGAUGCCUAUCUGCUCAUCUUUCCAGCUGGAUUAGGUGUUGCUUAGAUUUGCUAGUUGUCUUUAAGUAUUACACAGUUUUUGUAUUUAUGCAGCCUUAUGUAUAGUUGUAGUGGUGAGGAGUAGGUAAAUUAUAUGAUUAGUAAAAGGGCUAGUUUUUGAUGCUAGGUAUGGAAGUGUAGUGACAAUUGUAAACUGUCAGGCUGUG